CAUCUUCAGAUUGGCCAGCGCCACAAAGGCCUCUGCGGCCGUCGGAUUCUUAUCUGCCGCAGCCCUGUAGUGAAGCCGGGCCUGCUCCGAAUCGCCCCGCUUGGCUGCAAUGUGGCCGAGAUACAUCUCAGGU
rnacentral:rRNA from 1 species